rnacentral:lncRNA from 1 species
AAAACUAUCCUUGCAACUAAUUAAACCUCAAUUAAAAAAAAAAUGCCUAUAUACCUCUUAUACGUUUGAAAAUAUCCGAUUUAAUCCUACUUUUUUUAUUCUUUCUAAAAUACCCCUCAUAUGUUCCACUGUAAUUGCAAAAUACCCCUGCAGUUAUCUUUUAUUUAGUUAACUUGAAUUAAACGUGAGUUAAAUAUAUAUCACAGUUAAAAAAGAUUAAAAUGCCAAUUUUGCCCUUAACUUAAUGGUAAAUAAGAAAUAUUGGUGACGGUAGAAGGGUAUAUUGAAAAAGACCAAAAGUCAAAAUACUUUUUGCGCCAUUGACUUUAAUGGCAAAUAAAAGAGUCAAUGAUGAUAGAAAUGUAUAUUUGAAAGGACAAAAUAGUAAUUUUAUAGAGAUAACAGAGUUAAUUAACAGAUUUUAACUCUAAGGUUAUAUUAGAAAUAGGUUGGAACGUAGAAAGGGUAUUUUCAAUAUUAGCCUUCUAAGAGGGGUAAAUCGAAAAGUCAGAAACUUUUCAGGAGUAUAUAAACAAUUGCCCCUAAAAAAAAAACCUUCAGAUACCACUCUGGUUUCGCACUUUUUCACUUUAGUACUCUAUGAUUUAAAGUAUAUCAUUUUCGUACCUGUGAUUUUAUUUUUCUCUUUUUAUUAUUCCAUCAACUAAUUUUUUUCGUUAAAUUAGUGAUAAAAUUAAAACUAAAGGGUAUUAAAGUGAAUAUUCGAUAAACUAUAGAUAGGUAUCUGAAGUUUUUUGUAUAUGAUUUUAACGAAAAGUUAACGAAGAGGCUGGCGAAAAGAGAAAAAUAAAAUCACGUGACACUAAAUUGAUACACUUUAAACCACAGUGCAUUAUAGUGAAAAAGUGCGAAACCACACUAGCGGUAUUUGGAAUUUAUCCAUACAAAAAAGAAAAAGAUAAAAAGGAAUUUAGAAAUAUUAAAAAAGGCUGGGGGGGCAAAAAGGGCAAAAAAAAAAAAAAAAAAA